CAGCUCUGCACUGUUGUGCUCUGAGCACAUAUACAGCACAUAUGAUCUCUUUGAUGGAGGAGGUGGAGUCACAGUGUGUAUGAAUCCUGGGGAGACUAGGGGGAGCGGCUGAGGUGAAACUGAAGUAGACCUAAAACACUCAACUUUUAGGCUGUGCAGAUCUCUCUCUCAGUAGGCUAUAACUCAGGGACCAUGGCACCAUGGAUAUGUCUAGUCUUGUCACUCAUGCUAGGAGAGUCUGUUGGGAAUACAAUAACACCAUCUCAUUCUUCAGUUGUCAUUAUUGAGGGAGAAAAUGUCACUUUCUCCUGUAACUACAGUGAUGGUUAUGUUGAGAAUUUGCAGUGGUAUCGGCAGUAUCCCAACUCUAUCCCAGAGUUCCUCUACUACAUACGUGAGGCUGGUUCCUCUUCAGAGAAAGUUCCUCGCCUGACUCCCUCCAUAAACAAAGAGGAAAAGCGUGUGUUUCUGGAACUCUCCUCUGCUGAGGCGUCUGACUCUGCUGUGUACUACUGCGCCCUGAGGCCCACAGUGACAGGAACUCCAACCCUGUAGUGCAAAAACCUCUCAGAUGUGGAGGGGUGGUGGGUUUCAGGGUGUGUUGCCUAGAAUCAUGUCACUCGGUAGAUUAAGAUGGAGAGAGGCUUU